AGUUACUGAAAAAAUAAACAAAUAUGUUGAUAUACUCCAUUGCAUGAUAUUUAUGUCUAACAAGACUUCUAUGGAUAUUUUAUAAAAAUUAUAGUGUUUUAGAAAUUUCAAGUAAUAUUGCAAAUAAAAAUAAGUAAGUGUUAUGUAAUUGUCUGACCAUACUCUAUCAUGUCACUAUUAAAAACAAACCAAAACACAAUAAUUUAAAAACAAUAAGAUUUUCUAACAUCUUCCUUAAAUCAGAGUCUGCACUAUAGAAAAAUGAAUGAUGGUAGGAGUCAAUGAGAUGUUAAAGAAACCAAAGUCAACGAAGAAUCAUUUGCUGUUUUGAAGCUCAAGAUACCAAUUAGCAUUAUGGCACAGAGACAGAAAGGGACAGAUAGACAAACAUCUCCCAUCUCCUGUUUCACUCCCCAAAUGCCCAAAUAGCUAGGAUUGAGCCAGGCCAAAGACAGGGGCCCAGAACUUCAUCUAAGUCUAACACAUAGAUGGCAGCAACUCAAGUAACUGAGCCAUCACCUUCUGCCUCCCAAACUACGCUUCAGCAAGAGACUGAAAUCACAAGUGGACUAUGACUUAAAUACAGGUAGCUUAAUAUGGAAUGUGGUUGUCCAAAGCAGACAUAUUUUUUAAACCAACAAUAUUGUAUAUUUGUACAGCAUGUUUUUUAAAAUCUUAGAAGAAUUCUAUUUUUACUUUUUCUCCAUAAAUAUUUUGUACCAGCUAGGUGCCAGAUACUGAAUAUAAGGCUGAUUUCACAACAGACAAGCACUUAUCUACGUUAGACCCUCUGCUUGAAAUGCGCUUGACUCACAUUGCCAUGUUUAUAAAUCUCUUCUAAGUGCUUCUUUUAGGAAGUCACCUUCUCAGAGACUUCCUAAAACUCAUGUUCUCAUCUAAUAAAAAUACCACUAGUGCUAUUGCUGCUUAUUGUUCUUAUCCUACUUUAUUUUCCUCUACAGUAAUUAACAUCAUCUGUUCUUGUUUGUUAAUAAAAUGUCUCUGAUACCUGGAUUUGAAAUCAUAAACUUUGUUUUGUCACUAUCCAUUCUGCCAUUCUGCAAAACUAAGAGGAAGACCUAAACUUUUGCCUUUCUGGGACUGGUCAUUUCACCUUCUUUCAGACCAAAGCCCCCUUCAACAAUGGGUAAUUAAGUGGUACAAGGGGAGACAGGAAAUAAAAACAAUCAAGGAGUGGCAAUCUAUGUUGUAUCUGAAAAGCUGCAAAUGUAUAUUUGUUAGUCUAAAUAUAUUAGGGCCCAUGCAAUUGUAAGGAAGGGAGAAUCACAUAUAAACUACAAAUAUUUUUGUGAGAUAUUCACAGGUUAAUACAUAGAAAUAAGACAUUUGAGUACAUCUUAAUGGCAAUUUUUAAAAUUUGUAUAAAAGCUGUAUUAAUUUUCUGUUUUGAGGGUUACCCUCCUUUACAACCCAGUUACCAUAGAAGCAUGAGAUGAAACCAGUGUCCUCCAGGUAGAAAUUUCUUGAAGUGUUCUUUCUCUAGGAUUAAUUAAAUCAUCAAUUUCCUUAUUAUUUCCGAAGAUUUCAAGAGAGUUCUUAUGUGGGGUACAAGAAGUACAUGACAUUUGGAUGGUCAUUCUUGGGUAACCGUCUUCAUUAAAGACAAAAUAGCUGAUCAAGAGGAUGGGCAAUUUGGUAUAAACCAAAUUACUUCUUAAGUGUCUUUAGCAAAUCUCAUCUCCAUAGAUAGUCGAUUAUGGUGUAUGUCUAGAAAUCAUGUUAAAUGUUCAUAUAUACUAUAUUGAUGUCUUAAAUUGAAUGGGAAAACCUGUUGAUUGACUUUGUAUAAGCAGAUUUCAAUAAUUCCUAUUUUAAAAGUUUUUCUUCAAUGACAUUUUGUCCUCUAUCCUGCCUUUUCCCAUAAUCAUCAUCAAUGUAUAAAAGAAUUCCACUGAAUUCUGAUGCACCUACCCCUAUAUCUGGUUGUUUUUACAGAUGGACAGUAAAAAUAUUAAAAGGCUGACUAGUUCUGUAGAUGAAUCUAGUUCUCUUUUUGUCAACAGAGUAAAGAAUUUUCUGCCUUGCUAAUUGUCUUUGUUCCUUCUAAAUUCUUGGUUAAGGUGGAUUAUUUUCCUUGGCAACUAAAUGGAGUAAAAUAUUUUCAGAAUUUUGAAAGUCUCGGUCACAUUAAAUUUGUCUCUUCAGUUCCUUUUCGGAAAAAUUUACCUCUUCUCUGCCGUCAGGAGCUUUCUUCUCCACUUUUUCUCAAUGUUAGUGCCAACCCUAGAAUAUUUUCCAUGAUUACUUUGAAUCCCCCUUGUUAUUCAAUAGGAAGUCCUUUCUGAUUCACUUCACAUCCUGCCUUAUCUACUAAGAAAAUCUCUAGUAUUUAAUAUCAAAUGUUAACAUUGAAUUCUUUAGGGUUACUUAUGGCAAUGCCUGUAAUCUAUGCCUGUACCUGUUUCACAAGCUUACUACUAUGAACAACUGUCACUAAUUUGCCUAGAAAUCAGCAAUUUUGACAGAGCUCAGUGGAUUCACAGCAUCUCAACUGACAGCUUCAAUCUGUCAGUUGAGAUAAGUUGGAGGUUGGCAUUAUCUGAAGCCUUGCUGAGAUUCUGGGGGUUAUAGUUAGCUUGGACCAUACCUAUAGCCAUCACCAAGAACAGCCACACACAACCUCUCCUGAUAGCAUGAUGGCUGCUUUCAAAGAACAGGUAGGUAGCGUGAAUGAAAGAUGCUGUUUUUUCUAAAAGUCUAUGCACAGAAAAUGGUUGUGUAUAACCCUCCUUCCCACUGGCUGAAAGUUAGUGUACAGAUUCCACUAAGGAGAUCAGAGGAAUGUCAGAAAAUUUGAGGUCCAUAGGUUAGAAAUAUGCGAUCUUAAUUCUAGUAUCAUAUUAUUUAUGUUCCUCUUACAUACAAACACAUGUAUCUACUGGCAAUAGUCCCCCAAAGUCUCCUUCUCUUGCAGCACAGGUCUCAGGCUUGUUUUCCAGGGUUGUUUCAUCUGUAUCUGUUCCAGGUAUGAAUGAGAGUCCUUCAAUUUGAUAUCUACUAUAAUCCCUCAGAAACAUUUCCUUCUGAUUCUAUGAACUAAGGACUAAAGGGAUGAUUUUCCAUCCCCUACACAGCCAUUAUGCACUGAUAUUCAACAAGAGAGGAAACAGGAGGCAUUGAAGCAUACUCUGACCCUAGAAAUUGUGGAUUGCUCUUAACUUUUCCCUUUACAUGCUUGAUUCUACCAAUUAAAUCAUCUUCUAUUUUAUAAAAGUAUGUUUGCCAUGAAGUUGCCAUUUCAGUUUUUUAGCCCAUAAGAAGUUUGGCAUCCAAAGGUCUCUUUUCAUUAUACUGUCUUUGUGUGUUUUAGUCCAAGUUGGUAAUGCUUCUGUCAGCACAAUUUUCUUUAAAGCUAUCUUUGUGGAUUCUUUAUGAAUCUUCACUGCGUAGGAAAAAAAGGCACAAACAUAGAUCUCUUCAAGAUAGGCGCUCCUCAACAGCAUACUCACUGUGAAGCCGCAUGCGAAAAGCCCUGAGUCUAAGAAGCCUUAUUUAAGGAGGAUAUCUGUGAGACACAAUCCUAUGCUUUUAAGACAGUAUUUUAUCCGUAAGCUCUAUGAGGAAUAGCCUUGGAUCUUUCUGAAACCUUAACAAAUGGUUUCACAGCCAUGCCCUAAGCUGCUUUUUCAGAUCCUGUUUUCCUAAAAGUGUAUGGGAUGGAUUUGUGCUAGGAAAUAUUUUCUCAUUUGGAGAAUUUCUUGGUAGUUGGAGAAGUUGAGAAUGACAGUAAGUUUUCUUUUUUAAAAAAGAUGUAUUUAUUUAUUUGAAAGAGUUACACACAGAGAGAGGAGAGGCAGAGAGAGAGAGAGAGAGAGAGGUCUUCCAUCCGCUGGUUCACUCCCCAAUUGGCUGCAACAGCUGAAGGUGUGCCGAUCUGAAUCCAGGAGCCAGGAGCUUCUUCUGGGUCUCCCACAUGGGUGCAGGGGCCCAAGGACUUGGGCUAUUUUCUACUGCUUUCCCAGGCCAUAGCAGAAGGCUGGAUAGGAAGUGAAGCAGCUGGGACUCAAACUGGCACCCAUAAGGUGCAGGAAGCGGCUUUACCCGCCAUGCCACGGCAGUGGCCCCAGUAAGUUGUAUUUUCAAGCUCAACAAAUCCUUGCUCUUUUAACAAGGGUACUUCCAAAAUUCAUGAAUGUAGCAUUAAAAGAUACAUUUAUUUUGGCUCAAACUUUUUUGGUAUGCAUGCUUCUUACUAAGCAUGUAACACAAUCAUUUUAAAGAACUUUUGUACACAUGUAUUUCAAAAGCUUUUAGACUGGGGCCAGUACUGUGGCUUAGCAGGUAAAGCUGCCACCUCCAGUGCCAGCAUCUCAUAUGGGUGCUCCAUUGCCAGACCAGCUCCCUGCUAAUGCACCUGGGAAAGCAGCAGAGCUGGACACUUGGGCCCCUGCACCUGAGUGGGAGACCUGGAAAAAUCUUGUGGUCCUGGCUCAGCCCUGGCCAUUUUUGUCAUUUGGGGAGUAAGUAAACCAGUAGAUGGAAGAUCUCUCCCUUCCUAUUUUUCUCUGCCUCUCUGUAACUCUUUCAAAUAAAUAAAAUAAAUAUUUUUUAAACAGGAAAAAAAAAAACCUUUUUGGAACAAAAAUCCCAACUCUUUAAUUCCAUUUUAUUUGCAAAUUUUUGAAUUCUUCUCAUAUUUAACCAUUCUGUUUUUGACGUCUCUCUCUCCUAUAUUACACAGGCAGCUAGAAGAAGAAGCAAGGUGGCAUUUUUAAUAUGCUAACUGGAAGUUGCCACUGGAUCCUUGGAGUCAUUGUCAUUGUUUUUUCUGUUUUCCAUGAUUGUCAUUGUUUUUUCUGUUUUCCAUGAUACGUGGGUGACAGUGUUGCCAUACUCUCUGCCACUACAGAAAAUGUUUCUACUUCAGCUUACAACAUUCUCACAUAUAUUUAAUCACUCAGCUACAAUCUUCUUGUGGUCCUUUGAGAAAGAGGCCUCUGAGAAAACUUUAGCUUGUUAAUAAAAAGGCUCCCAAAUACCCUUCAAGUUUCAAUGUAUUCUUUGAUCUCAUAACCAGGGCCUCAUGUUUUAGACAGCUGUUGUGUGUCACACUAUGGGAGCCCAAAGUACAUGAGGGCUCACUCAUAACACAUAUUAUUCCAAAGUAACUCACCAGGAAGUCUGAUUUGGAGAGACAUUUACUUUUACUCCUGGGAGUGACCAAUGGCAGCUGGUGGAUCUCAUAAAUCCACACUGCUCAGCUGGAGUACUCAGUGCUAAAUAGCAGAUGUAAACAAGCAGCACUGGUUCAUGGUCAAAACAGUCAAGUGUGUUCCAGGUGUCUCAGCUGCAGCUUGUUAGACUUACUGGCCCUCUUUUACUUAAGAUAUUUACUCUAGGGUAAGUGGGAGGGGGGAUUUUUCCUGAGCCCACUCCCAGGACACAGAAUUCUUUCUCAUGAUGCGAUUGCAGUAUAAUGAGCCUUCUGUACACUCCCUUCCGUCCUCAGCAUCCUUGCAACCAUGGACAACCAUGAGGCACACUGCAUCCAGCUCCCACAGAUAGAAUAUAGGGAACACCUUCAAGGUCCUCUAGACUAAUUGAAUUGAGAGCUCAAACACUGAUGUUUACCAAAUGCAGUAGGCUAUCCCAGUCAGUCCCAGACAGAAUAGCCCAAAGCAGAGCCAGUCUUAUUAACUGUUCCCUUACAAGGUGGAAACUGUGCUAUCUGGUUUCACUGUAUCUAACUAUCUCCUCCACGGACAACUUCUCUCAUUCAGUGCCAGAAGGGAGUUCAGUUAGUUGUGUUCACAGCAGCAACACACCAGGGUAGGCCAGAGGUUAAGGACAGAAAAAGUUCUGAAUACAUCAAACAGGCACUCUGUAAAACAAAACAAAAUGAAGACAAACAAAAAAGCAAACCUCUCUCUCACCUGGAAUAGGACUAGGGUUGAUAACAGAAAUGCUUAAUAGGUACUAGAGGCAAAUCAUGAUUAUCAGACAGAAUCCAUGAAAUAAAAUGGUCUUGACAAGGUGUAGUGACACUCUGAGGCCCACAUCCUGGGCAGGUGUACCAGACUCUUAGGUUGCCAAACCUGGCUAAUUUUGUUAUGUAUAAUACUUAAAGUGUGGUCCUGAAUUGCCAGAGGGAUUUUACAAUGAUUUCUUUUGGAAAAAAUAAGGUACCAGGGUGGUAGUAACUUGUUUCUGUACCCCAAAUACCCCAAACCUCAGGGCUUACAGUGAGCUUGUGUAUUAGGCCCCUAGGAGCUUUGCGGAAACAUCAGUGUGGUUUCUCCUAUACCUGCCAAGACCACCUGAGAGUAUUUUUGCCCAGUCCAAUGUCUACCAAGAUGGAAGAAGCAAAUUGUCUGUACUUUAUGUAGGUCAGAUGCUGGGUUCUUGGGCUCAAAUUUGAAGCCACUUAGGUGUUGCAAUAUACAUGUUAGAAACCCUCAGCUCCUUUGCGAGUUAUCUUCUUACACCAUUUGCCCCACAGAGAUUUUUAUCCUUUAACAUUUAUGGGAGGCCUAAGGAGGAAGAUCUGUCUUCUGUAACUUCUUCAUGCUCUGUCAGGGCACCCUUCCUGUGUAGCAAGGAAAUGAAAAUCCUGCAUUAACUGACUCAGAGAAUUAAUUCAGGGAUCUCGAAAUUCACCAUCACUCAUUGGCAAUGACUGGAAUCCCUGUAUGUCCAUCUAUUUUACAUGAAACCAUCUGAAUCAAGUAGGAUGUCAGAGGUAAAGGAGGGCUCCCCCAAGAUAUCUAAAAAAGGGCUAAGCUAUAAGGUUGACCUGAAUGCCAUAUUCAUCCUAAGGAGCGCAGUAGGCAAUAAUGUGCUCCAAGGGUUGGGAGUUGGUUUCUACAAAUGGUUUCUUCUGCAGCUCCACUCUCACAGCUUCAAUACAUGUUGCUUGAUAGAAGGACCGCAGCCCCUACAGUGCAACUCUGCCUGGCUUCCAAGACUCCCUUUUUAAGUCUCAGUGGAACUUCCAUGACCCCCCUAACUCUUCCAUUCUCUACAACAGUAAAAUGAGCAACACGUGGACAAUGUAAUUUUCUACCACCAACAGUGGAUCUGCCUGGAGGUUUUUGCUGAAAGGAUUCUUCCCUGGAAGAUCUUUGAAACAAAUCUGCGUUUCUAUGUCUCUCAUCUUCAGGGUCUUUCUCUCAUUUUUUGUCUUUUGCAUAAACACAUGGCUGCCAUUUGCCUGAACUUGUUUUUAGCCAUGGUUUCUCAAUGUCAUUUUCCAAUUUGCAAGAAGGUGACCUAGGGCUGAAUUCAUGUGAAUGAAUGGGGGGGGGUGCAUGCUAAAGUUUAGGGCUUAGGACGAGCAGAACCAGACUCUGACAGGCCACAGCACCACUCAGGGCCUUUUGUGGGUUUAUAUCUCUCUCCUUUACUCACAGUAGCAGUGAGACAUGCACAAGAAAUGGCCAGCAGAGACAUCUACAAACAUCCACACAUUGUCACAUAUAGACACACAUCCAUAUAUACCUACUUACACAUUUCUACACCCAUCCACAAGCAACUACAUUCACCAAGAGCCAUGCCUACCAUGACUCCUGUUUGUCUAUAUGGCUUUACAUAUAAUAAUGACCUGGAGCCAAACUGUUAUAUAAUAGGUCUGUGGGCAGCUGGCCAAGCAAGUGGGCCUGGCAGUUACCAUAACAACAGUUACUAUGGAGGCACAGUUAUGGAAGCACAGAGACAAGGGAGCAAAAGUAACCUUGCAUUCCCAAGUUCAUCUCAACAGGAAGUUACCCAUGGCUGCAAAACUCUCCCCAAGACCUAGAGAACGCAAGUGUGUUCGGGCCUGGCAUUUCAAACAAGCCCCUCAACAUCCAGGCAUCCCAGAGUUUUCCUUGUGGAUUAGUUCAGUCUUGAGACUAUAGAUUUUUUUUAAAGAUUUAUUUGUUUAUUUGGAAGAGUUACACAGAGAGAGAGAGACACAGAGAGAGAGAGAGGUCCUCCAUCUGCUGGUUCACUCCCCAGUUGGCCAGAACGGCUGGAGCUGCUCUAAUCCAAAGUUUCAAGAGACAGGAGCUUCUUCCAGGUCUCCCACGCGGGUGCAGGGGCUCAAGGACUUGGGCCAUCUUCUACUGCUUUCCCAGGUCAUAGCAGAGGGCUGGAUUGGAAGUGGAGCAGCAGGGACUCAAACCAGCGCCCAUAUGGGAUGCCAGCACAGCAGGUGAUGGCUUUACCUGCUAUGCCACAGCCCGGGCCCCUGAAGCCAUAGAUCUUAAAUAUGCUCCAUGAUACCCAAGGAUCCCAAGGCCCUCCCAUGGGGGUGUUCUGGGUGAGUCACAAGAUCCCAGACUUCAACUUUAAUACAUCAGCAAUGCAAUGUAGAAGGCUGCAUAGCACCCUAGGUGCAAAAAAUAGAAGCCUGAUGCCUCCAAUUCUGAAAAUUACUGAAUGAAGGGUGGUUUAGAAGGCCUGAGCAAGAGAGGCUACCAUCAGAAAUAAGGAGACUCAAGUCCACUGGAGAUCUUGAAGAAAGCGAACAUUUCUAAGAGUGAAGAGAGGAAAACUGUGAAGUUCUGUUAUGGCCCUCACUUUUCCAUUCGCAUUUGAUAUCUGGACAUAACUCCCUCAACUGUUCUUCAUCUCAGAGAUUGCAGGAAAAAAAGAAUGCAUUGGAAGCCAGAAGUAACAAGAAAGCAAAAGUCUCUGUGGGAUACUGUAGUGUUAAAGCCAAUUUUUUCAUGUAUUUGUCUUUGGAGUGUCUGCCAGUCAUUGUUGGCGCAGAACCUUAGCUUAAGGCUAAGUACUUGGGCAUCCUACAUAGGCAAUGCCUGAGAUUUGGAGGGCAGCUAAAAGACCUUGAUCCGAUAUCCUGGAAAUACAAUAUAAUUGACUAAGUCAAAAAUAUCAGAGAAAAUAAGCAAAUUGGCAUUAUUUGCUUGUGAUAUGAUUGUAUAGAAAAACGAAAGGAAUGUAAGAUCAAAUUAUUAAAAUAAAGAUCAGAGAUUAUCUGUAGAAUAAAAGAUAAUUUCCAAAUUUUGUGAAUUUUUGUAUUUCCAUGUAAUGACAACAAAAAACUAAGCACACACACACACACACGAACACACCAGAAGAGAAGUAUAUAUUUUGUACAUACAAAAAUGUGUUUGUAUGUGUAUUUUUUAAAUAGUAAAAUAAAAUACAAUCCGUGGUAUAAAAAAUACAUGUGUAAUACUGAACAGCUAUUUUAAAGUCAUAUGUAAACUGUAAAAAAGGACAUAUAAAAUGUUCUUAUAGGAUACACACAAUAUCAUAAAAAGAGUUAAUAUUUGUUUAGGUGUCAAAAAUAAACAUUUAAUGCAAUUUAAAAAUACUAUUGUAUUUUAAUGGAAUGAGAUCAUUUGAUUUUAAAAUUUACACAGAGUACCAAAUGUUUGUAAAAUAUUGAGGUACUUAUAAACACAGAUUAAGAGGGAGAGCUAUCUAAAAUAGAAAUAUAUCUGUAUUAUACAGUCAUUUAAAUGAGGAGAAAGUACUAUUAGGGUAGUAUUAAACAACUACAGAAAUAGAACAGAUAUUUAUUCCAGAAGCAAAGUGUGUAUGUGGGUAUGUGUGCAUGUGUGUGGUAUUUUGAUGAAUUUAAAUCAAAACAAAUGAUAGUAAAUUAAUGGAAAAAGUUGUAUUUUUAAGGAAAUCAUGAUGGUAAAUUUAUUUUUACCUAUAUGGAAAAUGUAAAAGGAUCAUUACCAUUAUCACCUCAAGAAACACAAAAAUAAAUUGAUGAAUGGUAAAAUUCUUACAUGUGGGUGGCAAUAUUAUUUUUGCAUAUUUGAAACUUCUAGUAAAUAUUUUUUGAUUAUUAAAAAUAUUUAUUUAUUUGAAAGGCAGAAAUACAGUGCAAGAAGGAGAGAGAGGGGGAUACAGAAAAGGAGAGACAGAGAUAUUCCAUCUGUUGGUUCAUUCUCCAAAUGGCUGCAAGGGCUGGGGCUAGGAUAGACAAACCUAGGAGCCAGAAACUUCAUCUGGGUCUACUACAUGAGUAUAGGGGCCCAAUUACUUGGGCUAUCGUCUGCUGCUUUUCCAGGCUCUUAACAGGGAGCUUGGUCAGAAGUUGAGCAGCCAGAACUUGAACCAGCACCCAUAUGGGGUGUUCACAGUGCAGGCAUCUUCUACACCACAGUGUAUUAGAUAUAUUGUCUUAAGGGACACAUUUUUUAAAAGAUAGAAUGCUGUGGCGCAGUGGGUUAAUGCCCUGGCUUGAAGCACUGGUAACCUUUAUGGGCGCCGGUUUGAGACCCAGCUGCUCCGCUUCUGAUCCAGCUCUCUGCUAUGGCCUGGGAAAGCAGUAGAAGAUGGCCCAAGUCCUUGGGCCCCUGCACCUGCAUGGGAGACCCAGAAGAAGCUCCUGGCUCCUGGCUUCAGAUCAG